rnacentral:rRNA from 1 species
UCCUACGGGAGGCAGCAGUGGGGAAUAUUGCACAAUGGGGGGAACCCUGAUGCAGCCAUGCCGCGUGAAUGAAGAAGGCCUUCGGGUUGUAAAGUUCUUUCGGUGAUGAGGAAGGUGUUUUGUUUAAUAGACAAAGCAAUUGACGUUAGUCACAGAAGAAGCACCGGCUAACUCCGUGCCAGCAGCCGCGGUAAUACGGAGGGUGCGAGCGUUAAUCGGAAUAACUGGGCGUAAAGGGCACGCAGGCGGAUUGUUAAGUGAGAUGUGAAAGCCCCGGGCUUAACCUGGGAAUUGCAUUUCAGACUGGCAAUCUAGAGUAUUUUAGGGAGGGGUAGAAUUCCACGUGUAGCGGUGAAAUGCGUAGAGAUGUGGAGGAAUACCGAAGGCGAAGGCAGCCCCUUGGGAAUAUACUGACGCUCAUGUGCGAAAGCGUGGGGAGCAAACAGGAUUAGAUACCCUGGUAGUCC